rnacentral:rRNA from 1 species
GGAUUCCCCUAGUAACUGCGAGUGAAGCGGGAAAAGCUCAAAUUUAAAAUCUGGUAGUCUUUGGCUGCCCGAGUUGUAAUCUAGAGAAGCGUUAUCCGCGCUGGACCGUGUAUAAGUCUCCUGGAAUGGAGCGUCAUAGAGGGUGAGAAUCCCGUCUUUGACACGGACUACCAGGGCUUUGUGAUGCGCUCUCAAAGAGUCGAGUUGUUUGGGAAUGCAGCUCUAAAUGGGUGGUAAAUUCCAUCUAAAGCUAAAUAUUGGCGAGAGACCGAUAGCGAACAAGUACCGUGAGGGAAAGAUGAAAAGAACUUUGGAAAGAGAGUUAAACAGUACGUGAAAUUGUUGAAAGGGAAACGCUUGAAGUCAGUCGCGUUGGUCAGGGAUCAACCUUGCUUUUUGCUUGGUGUACUUCCUGGCUCACGGGUCAGCAUCAAUUUUGACCAGUGGAAAAAGGUCAAGGGAAUGUGGCAUCUUCGGAUGUGUUAUAGCUCUUGGUCGUAUACAUUGGUUGGGAUUGAGGAACUCAGCACGCCGCAAGGCCGGGUUUUUAACCACGUUCGUGCUUAGGAUGCUGGCAUAAUGGCUUUAAUCGACCCGUCUUGAAACACGGACCAAGGAGUCUAACAUGCCUGCGAGUGUUUGGGUGGAAAACCCAAGCGCGUAAUGAAAGUGAAAGUUGGGAUCUCUGUCGUGGAGAGCACCGACGCCCGGACCAGACCUUCUGUGACGGAUCCGCGGUAGAGCAUGUAUGUUGGGACCCGAAAGAUGGUGAACUAUGCCUGAAUAGGGUGAAGCCAGAGGAAACUCUGGUGGAGGCUCGUAGCGAUUCUGACGUGCAAAUCGAUCGUCGAA